rnacentral:rRNA from 1 species
GUGCCAGCCGCCGCGGUAAUACGUAGGGUGCAAGCGUUAAUCGGAAUUACUGGGCGUAAAGCGUGCGCAGGCGGUUUUGUAAGUCUGUCGUGAAAGCCCCGGGCUUAACCUGGGAAUUGCGAUGGAGACUGCAAGGCUUGAAUCUGGCAGAGGGGGGUAGAAUUCCACGUGUAGCAGUGAAAUGCGUAGAGAUGUGGAGGAACACCGAUGGCGAAGGCAGCCCCCUGGGUCAAGAUUGACGCUCAUGCACGAAAGCGUGGGGAGCAAACAGGAUUAGAUAC